rnacentral:rRNA from 1 species
GUGGGGAAUAUUGGACAAUGGGCGCAAGCCUGAUCCAGCCAUGCCGCGUGAGUGAUGAAGGCCUUAGGGUUGUAAAGCUCUUUCAGUAGGGAAGAUAAUGACGGUACCUACAGAAGAAGCCCCGGCUAACUUCGUGCCAGCAGCCGCGGUAAUACGAAGGGGGCUAGCGUUGUUCGGAUUUACUGGGCGUAAAGCGCACGUAGGCGGAUUGGUCAGUUAGAGGUGAAAUCCCGAAGCUCAACUUCGGAACUGCCUUUAAUACUGCCAGUCUCGAGUCCGGAAGAGGUGAGUGGAACUCCUAGUGUAGAGGUGGAAUUCGUAGAUAUUAGGAAGAACACCAGUGGCGAAGGCGGCUCACUGGUCUGGUACUGACGCUGAGGUGCGAAAGCGUGGGGAGCAAACAGGAUUAGAUACCCGAGUAGU